rnacentral:rRNA from 1 species
AGAGAAUACCAAGGCGAUCGAGUGAAUCGUGGUUAAGGAAUUCGGCAAAAUACCCCCGUAACUUCGGGAGAAGGGGGGCCCAGAGGGUGAAGGCACUUGCUGCCUAGCCUGAACGGCCGCAGAGACCAGGGAGAAGCGACUGUUUACUAAAAACACAGGUCCGUGCGAAGUCGCAAGACGAUGUAUACGGACUGACGCCUGCCCGGUGCUGGAAGGUUAAGAGGACCGGUUAGUUCUUCGGAGCGAAGCUGAGAAUUUAAGCCCCAGUAAACGGCGGUGGUAACUAUAACCAUCCUAAGGUAGCGAAAUUCCUUGUCGGGUAAGUUCCGACCUGCACGAAUGGCGUAACGACUUCUCCACUGUCUCAACCACGAACUCGGCGAAAUUG